rnacentral:rRNA from 1 species
GGCGUGUGACUGCGUACCUUUUGUAUAAUGGGUCAGCGACUUAUAUUCUGUAGCAAGGUUAACCGAAUAGGGGAGCCGAAGGGAAACCGAGUCUUAACUGGGCGUUAAGUUGCAGGGUAUAGACCCGAAACCCGGUGAUCUAGCCAUGGGCAGGUUGAAGGUUGGGUAACACUAACUGGAGGACCGAACCGACUAAUGUUGAAAAAUUAGCGGAUGACUUGUGGCUGGGGGUGAAAGGCCAAUCAAACCGGGAGAUAGCUGGUUCUCCCCGAAAGCUAUUUAGGUAGCGCCUCGUGAAUUCAUCUCCGGGGGUAGAGCACUGUUUCGGCAAGGGGGUCAUCCCGACUUACCAACCCGAUGCAAACUGCGAAUACCGGAGAAUGUUAUCACGGGAGACACACGGCGGGUGCUAACGUCCGUCGUGAAGAGGGAAACAACCCAGACCGCCAGCUAAGGUCCCAAAGUCAUGGUUAAGUGGGAAACGAUGUGGGAAGGCCCAGACAGCCAGGAUGUUGGCUUAGAAGCAGCCAUCAUUUAAAGAAAGCGUAAUAGCUCACUGGUCGAGUCGGCCUGCGCGGAAGAUGUAACGGGGCUAAACCAUGCACCGAAGCUGCGGCAGCGACGCU